CUGUUGGGGUGAGCUGCAGGAGGAGAGAGAUGCUGGGACUAAAAGAAAUUGCAGAACUGCACAGGUCCAGCAGGGGGCACUCUGGCCUGGAGGUGAAAGCGACUUCGCAUGAAUCAGGUCUUUUCAAAAUUCAGAUAACAAAUAGCUGCAGCUGGGGCGGAGGCUUACAGGUCGGUUCUCACCCACAGACUCCAGACUGGGACACGUCUACUCACAAGUUGCUCUAAGUGGG